rnacentral:rRNA from 1 species
AAAGGAAUUGACGGGGACGCGCACAAGCGGCGGAGCAUGCGGAUUAAUUCGAUGCAACGCGAAGAACCUUACCUGGGUUUGACAUACACCGGAAAGCUGCAGAGAUGUAGCCCCUUUUAGUCGGUGUACAGGUGGUGCAUGGCUGUCGUCAGCUCGUGUCGUGAGAUGUUGGGUUAAGUCCCGCAACGAGCGCAACCCUCGUCCUAUGUUGCCAGCAAUUCGGUUGGGGACUCAUAGGAGACUGCCGGGGUCAACUCGGAGGAAGGUGGGGAUGACGUCAAGUCAUCAUGCCCCUUAUGUCCAGGGCUUCACGCAUGCUACAAUGGCCGGUACAAAGGGCUGCGAUCCCGCGAGGGUGAGCGAAUCCCAAAAAGCCGGUCUCAGUUCGGAUUGGGGUCUGCAACUCGACCCCAUGAAGUCGGAGUCGCUAGUAAUCGCAGAUCAGCAACGCUGCGGUGAAUACAUUCCCGGGCCUUGUACACACCGCCCG